UACGUAGGGGGCGAGCGUUGUCCGGAUUUACUGGGCGUAAAGGGCGCGUAGGCGGCCUCCGCAAGUCAGUUGUGAAAUCUCCGAGCUUAACUCGGAAAGGUCAACUGAUACUGCGGGGCUAGAGUGCGGAAGGGGCAACUGGAAUUCUUGGUGUAGCGGUGAAAUGCGUAGAUAUCAGGAGGAACACCGAUGGCGAAGGCAGGUCUCUGGGCAUUAACUGACGCUGAGGAGCGAAAGCAUGGGGAGCGAACAGG
rnacentral:rRNA from 1 species